GAUGAACGCUGGCGGCGUGCCUAAUACAUGCAAGUCGAGCGAACGGACGAGAAGCUUGCUUCUCUGAUGUUAGCGGCGGACGGGUGAGUAACACGUGGAUAACCUACCUAUAAGACUGGGAUAACUUCGGGAAACCGGAGCUAAUACCGGAUAAUAUUUUGAACCGCAUGGUUCAAAAGUGAAAGACGGUCUUGCUGUCACUUAUAGAUGGAUCUGCGCUGCAUUAGCUAGUUGGUAAGGUAACGGCUUACCAAGGCAACGAUGCAUAGCCGACCUGAGAGGGUGAUCGGCCACUCGGAAUCUGACACACUCCCCAGACUCCUACGGGAGGCAGCUGUAGGAAAUCUCCCGCAAGGGGCGAACGCCUGACGGAGCAACGCCGCGUGAGUGAUGAAGGUCUUCGGAGCGUAAAACUCUGUUAUUAGGGAAAAACAUAUGUGUAAGUAACUGUGCACAUCUUGACGGUACCUAAUCAGAAAGCCGCGUCUAACCACG
rnacentral:rRNA from 1 species